UUGAAAUAAUAAAAGACAUAAAUUUAGCAUUUAAUUAAAUAGAUGGACAUAUGACAUGUUUUUAUUUGUGGAGUAUAUAGUGAAGCAGGAAGAGUGGGAUAGAAAAUUUAGACUCGUCGGUACCCCUAAUUUUUUUUGAAUCUAAACCACACAAUUCUAUUGGCUUUAAUCUCGACUGUUUAAUUAAAUUUAAUGGUUACUAGUUGUCGGUAGAACAUGUAAGCAUAUAAAAGCAACCAAAUUUUUUUUGCGUUCCUUCAAUUCUGAUUUCUGAGGUGAUCAAGGAAAGACGAUGUCGAUGCUCUUAAGAGUUGAGACUGCUUCUGCAAACUCCAAGAUGGGCAAGGCAAGGUUGUGUAACAUUGGUGUUUUCUCUGAAGGAAGCCUAUUCAAAUUACCCUGCUGGAACAUGUACUUGCUUGGCAAAAUCAUGUCUGUAUUCCUAGCAAGCUAAUGCCACUAAGAUGAUGUAAAGCAUAUCUUAAAACAUAUAUAAAUAGAUAAAAAUAAACAAUAUAUCCCUAUUAAUCUCACACAUUAAUGUUAAUUAGAAAAAUAUAAACAUCAAGAAAGUGACCUCAACUAUGUUAUUUUAGAGGGCGGUAUGCCCUGAAUGUGAUGUGAGAUAUCAAGGGAGAUACGUAGAAAGUUAAUUGGUAUAUUCAAAGAUUUAUGGAAGAAACCAAGAUAAUUUUGGCU